CUAAAGUUUUUUUUUUUUUUAAAAAACAAGGAACUUAAAACUAUAAAUGGCAGUCAGAAAAAUAUCCUUUUUUAUAAAAUAAUUCAUGUUAUGACACAUACAGUACUGGCAUCUCCCUGAAACAAAGUAUGUUUUGAAAUCACAAACGCUCAUAUAAAAACGUAAGAGAAAGCUACUUCAGACGUUUAACACUGAGCCCAACUACUACAGCCAUCCUCUCCACAGUAACCAAUCACCAGAGGCCUUGGCAAUAAGACAUCAGCACAACAGUAUUCUCUCUAGCAGCUGACCCUGAGAAAGAAGCAUCCUAGAGAAUUUUCCCCAGAUAUCAGUCAAGCUGAUUGGUCUGUAGUUUCCUGGAUCCACCUUUUUCCCCUUGUUGGAAGUUUGGAACAUCAGAUCUUUUCCAGACUCUGGCAGUUUCUCUAAGCUCCAGAAACUCAGCUUCUGUUCAGUGGUUCCAAGAUAACAUCUACAAGCUCCUUCUUAACCCUGGGAUGUAAACCAUCUGCUCCUGACCCAUCUAGAGUAAAUACGAAGAACAAGCUCAGCAGAGGACUCUGAUGCCGAGAAAGAUGGAGGGGGUGGAAAGGAGGAGGAAACACACAGCAAGGUAACUAAAAAAGGGUUGCUAACCUCAUCUACAAUAACAUGAGACACGUUAGAAAGAAGAAGAUCAUCUUGCAAUUUCCGAAGAAGAACUCCAGUCGUACAGUAAAGCAGUCUAGUAGCUUCUCCUGUUCGUGAUUCCAUACGGAUUUGAUAGCCACACAAGGAAUUCUUAGAGAAGAAAAUAAAAGGUUUGUCUAAAAUAAACUUAUUGUGAUUAGAACUUUCCAUUAUUAUUAGAAUAGGCUACUUUGCUCCUAUAUUAAUUCACAAACAUUUUUCCUGUUUGGAAAAAAGAUUGAUCCCAUAGCAGGUGCAAGUAGUUUUAUAGCAAUGCCCAAUUUUUAAUCCAUCCCAGCAGAAAGAGAUGCUAGUCUUUUCGAUUUGUGUUUUUUAAGGACAUGUAAUAGUUUCUAUACAAGAUCAACUCUUUGAUUUAAUAUUUAUUAAAAAUAUAGCAAAUAUUUCCAAGAGACUAAUAUGGAAAUAUGGAGCAUGCUUCCUCAAAAGAGGAAUUUCUCUUAUAAACUGACAGCAAAAAUUCAGUACAACCUUAAAGUGUAAACUCAGUCUGUUUCUGGAUGAGCUUCAAAUGCAACUCUAUUCUGUUCUUCAGUUUGCCAGAUAAUAAUGCCACUGUACCACAAAUAUUGGUGCAUAACUAAUUCUAUAAGGAAUUAAAAUUACUACUGAAUGGUAAUCUACCAUUUUUUCUUAUGAUCUCAAUAUUCUUAUGUGAAAUUCCUCUAAGCCAUAAAUGGAAAUUUAUUCCAUUAUAAACUGAUCUUUUAGGAGCUGUCCUAUUACAUUCUCUAAAAAGCAGUCAUCGGAACAUAACUGUAAGAACGUCUUACUCUUCCACCAGGUCCAUUUUC